GUCAGUGGUAGCUCAGUGGUUAAGCUGUCAGACUACUGAUUGGAAGGUCUUAAGUUCAAAUCCUAGCACUGCCA